UUUCUAUGGUCUUAUAAACACAUAACUGA
rnacentral:sRNA from 1 species